UACGAAGGGGGCUAGCGUUGUUCGGAAUUACUGGGCGUAAAGGGCGCGUAGGCGGUGCCUCAAGUCAGGCGUGAAAGCCCCGGGCUCAACCUGGGAACCGCGCUUGAGACUGGAGUACUAGAGUUCGGGAGAGGAUGGUGGAAUUCCUAGUGUAGAGGUGAAAUUCGUAGAUAUUAGGAAGAACACCAGUGGCGAAGGCGGCUCACUGGUCCGGUACUGACGCUGAGGUGCGAAAGCGUGGGGAGCAAACAGG
rnacentral:rRNA from 1 species